rnacentral:rRNA from 1 species
UACGUAGGCAGCAAGCGUUGUUCGGAGUUACUGGGCGUAAAGGGUGUGUAGGCGGUUGUUUAAGUUUGGUGUGAAAUCUCCCGGCUCAACCGGGAGGGUGCGCCGAAUACUGAAUGACUAGAGUGCGGGAGAGGAAAGUGGAAUUCCUGGUGUAGCGGUGAAAUGCGUAGAUAUCAGGAGGAACACCUGCGGUGUAGACGGCUUACUGGACCAUAACUGACGCUGAGGCACGAAAGCGUGGGUAGCAAACAGG